rnacentral:rRNA from 1 species
UACGUAGGGGGCAAGCGUUAUCCGGAUUUACUGGGUGUAAAGGGAGCGUAGGCGGCGAUGCAAGCCAGAAGUGAAAGCCCGGGGCUCAACUCCGGGACUGGUUUUGAAACUGUGUUGCUAGAUUGCAGGAGAGGUAAGUGGAAUUCCUAGUGUAGCGGUGAAAUGCGUAGAUAUUAGGAGGAACACCAGUGGCGAAGGCGGCUUACUGGACUGUAAAUGACGCUGAGGCUCGAAAGCGUGGGGAGCAAACAGG